UUUUAGUUUGACCCCCCGAAAUUAAGUGAGCUACUUCGAAACAGCCUAAAGAGCCAACUCAUCUCUGUUGCAAAAGAGUGAGAUGAUUUCCAAGUAGAAGUGACAAACCUACCGCACUUAAAGAUAGCUGGUUACCCGAGAAAAGAAUAUAAGUUCAACCCUAAGCCUUAUCAUUUUACUAAAAAUCCCUCCAAGCUUAAGAGUUAUUCGAAUAAGGCACAGCUUAUUCGAAACAGGAUACAACCUACAAUCUAGGGUAACAUCUAAGAACAACUAACAAGUGGGCCUAAAAGCAGCCACCUUUCAAAAAGCGUUAAAGCUUAUUAUCUCCUCUAAACUAAUAUCUCAACAAACCUCCAACCCAUAAAUAAUAUCGAGUAACUCCAUAAUCAUAUGGAAGAUAUAAUGCUAGAACUAGUAAUAAGAAAUAGACUUUCUCCAAAAUGUAAGCUUAAGCCACACUAGACCGACUAUUGGCAAUUAACGCAAAUGAAUCUAUCAUAACAACUUAACAAGAAAACACUAUAUAACAUAACGUCAAUCUUACACUAGAACAUUUAUGGAAAGAUUAAAAG
rnacentral:rRNA from 1 species